AUUUAAAUAGCUUAUAUUUAGAGCAUAACAUUGAAGAUGUUAAGGAGAUAUUUUAUCUUUAAAUA
rnacentral:tRNA from 1 species